AAUAGAUACCCCGGUAGUCCACGCCGUAAACGAUGCGAACUGGAUGUUGGGCACACUUAGGUGCUCAGUGUCGAAGCUAACGCGUUAAGUUCGCCGCCUGGGGAGUACGGUCGCAAGACUGAAACUCAAAGGAAUUGACGGGGGCCCGCACAAGCGGUGGAGUAUGUGGUUUAAUUCGAUGCAACGCGAAGAACCUUACCUGGCCUUGACAUGUCCGGAAUCCUGCAGAGAUGCGGGAGUGCCUUCGGGAAUCGGAACACAGGUGCUGCAUGGCUGUCGUCAGCUCGUGUCGUGAGAUGUUGGGUUAAGUCCCGCAACGAGCGCAACCCUUGUCCUUAGUUGCCAGCACGUAAUGGUGGGAACUCUAAGGAGACUGCCGGUGACAAACCGGAGGAAGGUGGGGAUGACGUCAAAUCAUCAUGGCCCCUUACGGCCAGGGCUACACACGUACUACAAUGGUUGGUACAGAGGGUUGCAAUACCGCGAGGUGGAGCCAAUCCCAAAAAGCCAAUCUCAGUCCGGAUCGGAGUCUG
rnacentral:rRNA from 1 species